rnacentral:rRNA from 1 species
GAUUAUGGCUCAGGAUGAACGCUAGCUACAGGCUAACACAUGCAAGUCGAGGGGUAGCAGGGUAGCAAUACCGCUGACGACCGGCGCACGGGUGAGUAACACGUAUCCAACCUUCCCAUAACUCAGGGAUAGCCUUUCGAAAGAAAGAUUAAUACCUGAUAGUACUUUUUCAAGGCAUCUUGAGAAGUUAAGAUUUAUGGUUAUGGAUGGGAUGCGUCCAUUAGAUAGUUGGUGAGGUAACGGCUCACCAAGUCUUCGAUGGAUAGGGGUUCUGAGAGGAAGGUCCCCCACAUUGGUACUGAGACACGGACCAAACUCCUACGGGAGCAGCAGUGAGGAAUAUUGGUCAAUGGGCGAGAGCCUGAACCAGCCAAGUAGCGUGAAGGAUUAGAAGGUCCUAUGGAUUGUAAACUUCUUUUAUAGUAGUAAUAAAGUGAUCCACGUGUGGAUUUUUGUAUGUAUACUAUGAAUAAGGAUCGGCUAACUCCGUGCCAGCCGCUGC